GAUGAACGCUGGCGGCGUGCCUAAUACAUGCAAGUCGAGCGAACAGACGAGGAGCUUGCUCCUCUGACGUUAGCGGCGGACGGGUGAGUAACACGUGGAUAACCUACCUAUAAGACUGGGAUAACUUCGGGAAACCGGAGCUAAUCCCGGAUAAUAUCUUGAACCGCAUGGUUCAAUAGUGAAAGACGGCUUUGCUGUCACUUAUAGAUGGAUCCGCGCCGCAUUAGCUAGUUGGUAAGGUAACGGCUUACCAAGGCAACGAUGCGUAGCCGACCUGAGAGGGUGAUCGGCCACACUGGAACUGAGACACGGUCCAGACUCCUACGGGAGGCAGCAGUAGGGAAUCUUCCGCAAUGGGCGAAAGCCUGACGGAGCAACGCCGCGUGAGUGAUGAAGGUCUUCGGAGCGUAAAACUCUGUUAUUAGGGAAGAACAAAUGUGUAAGUAGCUAUGCACGUCUUGACGGUAACUAAUCAGAAAGCCACGGCUAACUACGUG
rnacentral:rRNA from 1 species